GGUCCGUGUUCGAAAGGGAAACAGCCCAGACCACCAGCUAAGGUCCCAAAAUAUAUGUUAAGUGGAAAAGGAUGUGGCGUUGCCCAGACAACUAGGAUGUUGGCUUAGAAGCAGCCAUCAUUUAAAGAGUGCGUAAUAGCUCACUAGUCGAGUGACACUGCGCCGAAAAUGUACCGGGGCUAAACAUAUUACCGAAGCUGUGGAUUGUCCUUUGGACAAUGGUAGGAGAGCGUUCUAAGGGCGUUGAAGCAUGAUCGUAAGGACAUGUGGAGCGCUUAGAAGUGAGAAUGCCGGUGUGAGUAGCGAAAGACGGGUGAGAAUCCCGUCCACCGAUUGACUAAGGUUUCCAGAGGAAGGCUCGUCCGCUCUGGGUUAGUCGGGUCCUAAGCUGAGGCCGACAGGCGUAGGCGAUGGAUAACAGGUUGAUAUUCCUGUACCACCUAUA
rnacentral:rRNA from 1 species